rnacentral:rRNA from 1 species
UACGGAGGAUGCGAGCGUUAUCCGGAUUUAUUAGGUCUAAAGGGUGCGUAGGCGGGGCUUUAAGUCAGCGGUAAAAUCAUGCAGCUUAACUGCAUCAAGCCGUUGAUACUGGAGUUCUUGAGUACGGUUGAGGCUGGCGGAAUGUGUUGUGUAGCGGUGAAAUGCUUAGAUAUGCCACAGAACACCGAUUGCGAAGGCAGCUAGCUAAGCCGGCACUGACGCUGAGGCACGAAAGCGUGGGGAUCAAACA